CUAAUGCAAGUUUGGAGUUUACGUCAAAUGCCCCUUGGCUCCUCUUCCCAGUUUUUACAUCGUUUAAAGCCCAGCAAACAUUGUUUUGGCAUCAAAUGAACAGUAUACUAUACUUCCCAGUCAAUAUCUCCUUUCACUUUCGAUAUUAGAAAGAUGCAACGGGGUAUUACACGAUGCACAAAACAUACACUUCGCCAAUACAUCCAGUUCAACAAUUCCACGGCCCGAAGUCUGACAGAUCUGGAUUCGGCGGUUUGUCUUUACAGUAAGAGUGGUCCUCUUUAACAGCGUCGUCUACCCGACAAAUUCGGGGCUUCCACCGCCGCCUGACACUGGAAUGCUCCUUUUAGAGUUUGGCAUAACUUCAAUGGUAAUGCAAAAGGAAUUUACAUUUUGAGGAAACCUUUAACAAAAUGUGAUAUCAAAGACGCAUGCGCACAAGAGGCAAGCCUCGGACUCUUUGAGGGAUCGCAUAGCAUGAUGGCCAUCUUAUAUUUAUUUAAUUUAUAUUGCUUAGACUCAAUGAAUUUAUCAUAAAAAGCAGGCAAUUAACAUUGAGAAAGAGUACCUCGCAAAACGCAUAUUCAAGAGUAGCUGUAUUCACUUAGACUUGUGUUGUUGCCACCCAACAGUGUUUCUGAUUGACCAGAUUUGGAUUGCAUACUUUUGAC